AGGCCUAACACAUGCAAGUCGAGCGGUAGCGGGCCUGACCACUCUCGAGUGGUUCAGGCGCCGACGAGCGGCGGACGGGUGCGUAACACGUAGGAAUCUGCCCGGUAGUGGGGGAUAGCCCGGAGAAAUUCGGAUUAAUACCGCAUACGCCCUAAGGGGGAAAGCAGGGGAUCUUCGGACCUUGCGCUAUCGGAUGAGCCUGCGUCGGAUUAGCUAGUUGGUGGGGUAAAGGCCUACCAAGGCGACGAUCCGUAGCUGGUCUGAGAGGAUGAUCAGCCACACUGGGACUGAGACACGGCCCAGACUCCUACGGGAGGCAGCAGUGGGGAAUAUUGCACAAUGGGCGAAAGCCUGAUGCAGCCAUGCCGCGUGUGUGAAGAAGGCCCUAGGGUUGUAAAGCACUUUCAGUGGGGAGGAAAGGUCGAAGGUUAAUACCCUUUGGCUGUGACGUUACCCACAGAAGAAGCACCGGCUAACUCCGUGCCAGCAGCCGCGGUAAUACGGAGGGUGCGAGCGUUAAUCGGAAUUACUGGGCGUAAAGCGUGCGUAGGCGGCCAUUUAAGUUGGAUGUGAAAGCCCCGGGCUCAACCUGGGAACUGCAUCCAAAACUGGGUGGCUUGAGUGCGAGAGAGGAGUGUGGAAUUUCCUGUGUAGCGGUGAAAUGCGUAGAUAUAGGAAGGAACACCAGUGGCGAAGGCGACACUCUGGCUUGACACUGACGCUGAGGUACGAAAGCGUGGGGAGCAAACAGGAUUAGAUACCCUGGUAGUCCACGCCGUAAACGAUGUCUACUAGUUGUCGGUGGUCUUGUACUGCUGGUAACGCAGCUAACGCGAUAAGUAGACCGCCUGGGGAGUACG
rnacentral:rRNA from 1 species